rnacentral:tRNA from 1 species
GGCUUGGUAGCUCAGCUGGUAGAGCAGAGGAUUGAAAAUCCUUGUGUCGGUGGUUCGAUUCCGCCUCGGGCCACCA